CCCCAGACCGGAACCACCCCACUUCGGGCCUUCAAGCACAUAAUCAGCCAUGCGAAUCCCCAAGGUAGGCAGGCGGCCAUGCUACUGAGCGUUGAAUUAACGAAAGAUUAUGCGAUUCCAUGCGGAGCGCCCAGCGUACCAACAUUGCCUUUACCGUUCGUGACGGGCGCCGAUGACCGCGCCCUAAUGAAAGAGGGCCAACAUCGUGGGCCCUCGGGUGGAUCGGUCUCUUUUUCGGGAAGCU
rnacentral:misc_RNA from 1 species